rnacentral:misc_RNA from 1 species
UCAGUGGGUAGUCUUGCUUGAUUUGAGAUCAAUUUCAGGAACUUUCGUUCCAAGCCUAAAGCGGGAUCUUGCCUCGCUGUGGACUCUUGCAUUAAAAGAAACUCGAGAGAUUCUCAACUCCCAACACACAGUUGGUCGGUUUAUGCGAUACUCAAACAAACAUACUGCUCGAUCGCCCGAGCAGUGCAAGCUGCGUUCAAAGAUUCAAUGAUUCACAGUAAAGCAAGUCACACUACUUAUCGCAAUUCACUGCGUUCUUCAUCGAUGCUUGAGCCU